AGAGUUUGAUCCUGGCUCAGAAUCAACGCUGGCGGCGCGCCUAACACAUGCAAGUCGAACGAGAAAGUGGAGCAAUCCAUGAGUAAAGUGGCGUACGGGUGAGUAACACGUGGAUAACCUGCCCUUUAGUGGGGAAUACCGAUGGGAAACCGUCGACAAUACCGCAUAAGCUCGAGAGAGGAAAGCAGCAAUGCGCUGAAGGAGGGGUCCGCGGUCGAUUAGUUAGUUGGCAGGGUAAUGGCCUACCAAGACUGUGAUCGAUAGCCGGCCUGAGAGGGCACACGGCCACACUGGCACUGAAACACGGGCCAGACUCCUACGGGAGGCAGCAGUGGGGAAUCUUGCACAAUGGGGGCAACCCUGAUGCAGCGACGCCGCGUGAGCGAUGAAGCCCUUCGGGGUGUAAAGCUCUUUCGGCAGGGAAGAUGAUGACGGUACCUGCAGAAGCAGCUGCGGCUAACUACGUGCCAGCAGCCGCGGUAAUACGUAGGCAGCAAGCGUUGUUCGGAGUUACUGGGCGUAAAGGGUGUGUAGGCGGCUCUAUAAGUAUGGUGUGAAAUCUCCCGGCUCAACUGGGAGGGUGCGCUAUAGACUGUGGGGCUAGAGUGUGGGAGAGGAAAGUGGAAUUCCUGGUGUAGCGGUGAAAUGCGUAGAUAUCAGGAGGAACACCGGUGGUGUAAACGGCUUUCUGGACCAUAACUGACGCUUAGACACGAAAGCGUGGGUAGCAAACAGGAUUAGAUACCCUAGUAGUCC
rnacentral:rRNA from 1 species